GCAUAUCAAUAAGCGGAGGAAAAGAAACCAACAGGGAUUGCCUCAGUAACGGCGAGUGAAGCGGCAAUAGCUCAAAUUUGAAAUCUGGCUCUUUUAGAGUCCGAGUUGUAAUUUGUAGAGGAUGCUUCGGCUUACGUUUCGGUCUAAGUUCCUUGGAACAGGACGUCACAGAGGGUGAGAAUCCCGUUUGUGGCCGAGACUUCCGCCAUGUGAAGCUCCUUCGACGAGUCGAGUUGUUUGGGAAUGCAGCUCUAAAUGGGAGGUAUAUUUCUUCUAAAGCUAAAUACCGGCCAGAGACCGAUAGCGCACAAGUAGAGUGAUCGAAAGAUGAAAAGCACUUUGGAAAGAGAGUUAAAAAGUACGUGAAAUUGUUGAAAGGGAAGCGCUUGCGACCAGACUUGCCCGCGGAUGCUCAACCGGUCCUUCGGCCGGUGCACUCUUCCGCGGUCAGGCCAGCAUCAGUUCGAGCGGUCGGAUAAAGGCCUUGGGAAUGUGGCUCUCUUCGGGGAGUGUUAUAGCCCUUGGUGUAAUACGGCCCGCCUGGACUGAGGCCCGCGCUUCGGCUAGGAUGCUGGCGUAAUGGUCGUAAGCGGCCCGUCUUG
rnacentral:rRNA from 1 species